UGUAAAUAAGUCAAUGCCCAUUAGUUAAAAUGUAUGGGAGAGUAACAGCCACUGACUGUGAGGUUGUGUUUACGGCACAAUCUUUUAGCAAGCAGGCAUUGUUGAGUCUGGCCAACUUUCCAAUGUUGCUUUUCCUUUUAUUAGAGGAAGACCUUUAAUGUUGCUCAGGUGUAUGUGGUCGCUGUCUUGUCAGAUGGCAAGAAUGUUAUUCUGUGUCCAGUCGUGAUUAAUGUUGGGACGGUUUUGAGAAGUUCAGGGGGGAGUAUGUAGCAGAGUUAAUUUUAUUUAUUUUAUUUUUCUUUAUGAACCUUCUCAAAACUAAUUUUCUUUGAAUUGACAUGUCUGUUAUAUAUUAUUUCUGUUUUAUUUUGCUUUCAUUUUUGGUUCCUAGUGUGCAAAAAUCCACCCUCAUCUAUGAAUAUUUGUUUUUCUUUGUUUUUUAAUUGUAUUUUAUUUUGGUGGGGAAGCUUUUAUUUUCUUACUUCCUGUUUUUGCGUGACAUCCUGUGUGUUCCCGCUGCCCUCCUCAGUUCGCGCCAAGCUGCGCUGGGGAGAGGGUGUUUGUGGAGAAUCCGGAGCCCAGGAGCUGCUUUGUUUAAAAUGUUCUUGUUUUGAACAGGUAUGUGUGUUGUUUCCAAUUUUAUUUGGAUGUGAAAUUAAGCUGUUUAGUAUAUUUCUAUGUUAUGGUGGAAAAUUGUAAUUAUAGGGCAGAUUAUUUCUGUUUAGGUUUUAUUUUAAUUGUUUUGUAUGACUGUAGAUUUAUUUUAUUAGUGAACAUCAGAGAAUUUUGGUUUUGUUUAAUGCAUUUCUGUGUCAGUUCGCGCCAAGCUGCGCUGGGGAGAGGGUGUUUGUGGAGAAUCCGGAGCCCAGGAGCUGCUGUGUUUAAAAUGUUCUUGUUUUGAACAGGAAUAAAAUUAUCCUGAAUCCUGAUUCCGGUGUGGUUCUGACUUCCUGUUACCAACC